rnacentral:rRNA from 1 species
UACGUAGGGUACAAGCAUUAAUCGGAAUUAUUGGGCGUAAAGGGCGCGUAGGCGGGGACAUAAGUCAGAUGUGAAAUACCAAAGCUCAACUUUGGUGCUGCAUUUGAAACUGUGUUUCUUGAGGACUGACGGAGAAAGCGGAAUUCCAUGAGUAGCGGUGAAAUGCGUAGAUACAUGGAGGAACACCGGUGGCGAAAGCGGCUUUCUAGUUUUUACCUGACGCUGAGGCGCGAGAGCAAGGGGAGCAAACAGG